UGAAGUUCAGCAAUCGAGAUCUUUCUGGAUAUCAGCAAUCGAGAUCUUUUUGGAGAUCAGCAAUCUUGAUCUCUCCGAAUAUUGGCAAUCUACAUCGUUCUGGAGCAUGUCACGGUCGCCUGUAUGUUUGCGUAUGUCUUUGUAUUAUAUUGGUCACGUGAGAGUGUGUGUGAGCGUACCCAGGUACAGUAUAUGUUGGACUGUCCAGGUGACCAGUUCAUCCUCUCACGAAUUUUACCUGUUCGCCGUGUUUAUGGCGCAAGAUUAACUUGUUGAAGAAGCUCAGACAUCGGAUUGGGCUUCACAUGACGGGUGCAUGUUCGCCAAACGUAAAGAUGGGUCAACCUGAAUGGACAACAGGUCUUCAGUGAUGCAGGGUCAGGGCCGACCAGAGGUUGAGGUCAACUGCCAAGAAGACAGAAAAGGGAAAGUGGUUGCUGUCCACUGUUAAUAUCCUCGCCAGUAGAGGACCAUUAUUGUAAUCCGUUUGCCGGAUGCUGCAGAUGCCGUUUAUUGUUUUGUCUGUGCUGUUUCACCGUGAAACAUGAAAUGAUUUGUGUGACUAACAUUGCAGAGGUGAACUGAUCGUGACACCAAUCGUCACAAGAGCUUGGGAAAGUGAACGACAUUCCUGUCGUCUGGAGAGACUGUAGAUUCAGUGAUAUAUGCAUAAAUGUAGUAUAGUAGAGAGUGCGAUUGGGAGAGUGAAUGAGUUUGUAAUUUUUUGUGAUUCUAUGUAAAUAAACUUGUAUAUAUGA